CGGUAGUACAAAAUGAGGCUCACAUUAUUCAAGUCCUAGUUCCGGUGACAAAUACUAUGGCCAUCUUGGUCAGUGGAUUUCUUUUUAAACAACAGUAUGAGGUACUCGUAGAAGAUAUGUGUUGAAGGAGAAGUGGAUGCGUGAAACAUUACGGAGUGGAGGUCACAAGGUGUGAGUUAAGUCAUUUGACGAUGGCAGCAGCUGUUACACGAUUGGGACUUGGGUUUUGCUGAGACGCACGAAGGAAUGAAUCGUCGUACGACGAUCGUACGUAAAACGUCGUAUGCAGAGCAGUUUCGAAGAAAUAAAGUCCAAUGUGAAGAUGGUGUUAACAUUAUCAGAAGUGCUCAAGCUCCAUUUCUUGGCACCGACGAAGGGAAUGAAGACAAUAGUUGCUCACUAUCAUGGACCUAAAGAUUUCCAUAGUGCAAUUUUAUGAUCUGGGAUGAUGUUGUCAUAGCUAUAGCAUACCAUUGAGACGAGAGCAUACGUUAUGUACCGAGAUUAUGGUUCAACCCGUGCACCCAAGGUUGAAGCUUGGGAACUUCUGGAAUUUGAAUGCAAUGUACAUUUACUACGUCACAAAUGUCAAAUCAAAUUUGAAUCACAGUUCCAAUAACAAUAACAAAAAAAAAAGUUAUGGUUGUAUUUAAGGGCCCAAUUCAAAGCCCAGUUUGACUUGACUAUUGUUUGUCUUGAUAGUGUAGGCAAAAGCAUAUUUUUUUAAGGUUGUUUCAGCGAGAUUUUUUUGCUUUAUGAUUGUCGCAUUUCUUGCUGGUAGAGACUCGUUAGAAAUCACGAAAGCGUGAAGAACGAUCCAAAUUACUACCAUCAUUUUUAAAUAUAAGGUUCUAACUUUGUCCCAAGUCAAAUUUCUUAUAGUGUAACCAAGUUUAUAGACAAAUGUAUUAACAUCUAGAAUAUCAAAUAAAUAUACUACUCUGAUCCAUAUUAAUUGUCUCAAAUUUGCGAUGUAAUAUUUCGACAAGUAAUAUGGAUUAGAGAGAGUAUGAAAGCAUACAUCUUGAUGUGUUUAAUAAAACUAAUUUAGAAUCAGAAAGAUUGGUAAAAACAUUAUAAACUUGGUCAAAAUUUAAGAAGUUUGACUUGGCACAAGGAUAAGACUUCUUACAUUAGGAACACUUUUGGCCAGUGCAGCCAAUGGGCAGUGGUUAAUGUGCACCUGAACCAGCAGUGACACACUGAAGAUGGCUGCUGCUAGGGAUGCGAACACGAUCCCUCACAUGUCCCACUUCAGUCCAAUCUCCAAAUCUUAGGUCAUAAUUUUAAGCCUAUCCGCUUGCAUUCCUAGCUCCAGCAGCAUGGCACAAAGAUGAUGAACCCUAAUACCAGGGACUAGGGCAUCCAGGCAUUCAGAUCAUAACUGGUGGAACUGAGAAAUUCAACCGACUAUCAUCUAUCAAUUUCAUUCAUACCCUAUAUUAUUCCACUCUUAGAACACAUAUAUACAUGUUCAUGGCUGCUUCCAACAGCAUCUGCGCUUGCUUGUUUCUACCGCCUUGCCCUAUCUGUAGCCAAGCUAUUGCAGGUGCCUCUCUUUCAAUUUUCCCAGC